CGAACGCUGGCGGCGUGCCUAAUACAUGCAAGUCGAGGCGAGCGGGAACCAACAGAUUUACUUCGGUAAUGACGUUGGGAAAGCGAGCGGCGGAUGGGUGAGUAACACGUGGGGAACCUGCCCCUAAGUCUGGGAUACCAUUUGGAAACAGGUGCUAAUACCGGAUAAUAAAGCAGAUCGCAUGAUCAGCUUUUGAAAGGCGGCGUAAGCUGUCGCUAAGGGAUGGCCCCGCGGUGCAUUAGCUAGUUGGUAAGGUAACGGCUUACCAAGGCGACGAUGCAUAGCCGAGUUGAGAGACUGAUCGGCCACAUUGGGACUGAGACACGGCCCAAACUCCUACGGGAGGCAGCAGUAGGGAAUCUUCCACAAUGGACGCAAGUCUGAUGGAGCAACGCCGCGUGAGUGAAGAAGGUUUUCGGAUCGUAAAGCUCUGUUGUUGGUGAAGAAGGAUAGAGGUAGUAACUGGCCUUUAUUUGACGGUAAUCAACCAGAAAGUCACGGCUAACUACGUG
rnacentral:rRNA from 1 species